AUCGCUUCUCGGCCUAUGGCUAAGAUCAAAGUGUAGUAUCUGUUCUUAUCAGCUUAAUAUCUGAUACGCCCCGCGCAUGCGGGGCCAGUAUAUUAAACUGAUUUUUGGAAUUUGACGAAGGCGAGGAGCUUGCUCCACCUUCGUCAAGGGUUGGCUCGACAUUGCAGUAUAGUCGGGAUCGGCCCACUUAAU